CAUGUAGGCGGAAUUGCAAGCUUGAUGUGAAAGGCAGGGGCUUAACUCCUGGAUUGCGUUGAGAACUGCAUAACUAGAGUAACUGAGGGGCAGCCGGGAAUUCCAGGUGUAGGGGUGAAAUCUGUAGAUAUCUGGAAGAACACCAAUGGCGAAGGCAGGCUACCAGCAGAUUACUGACGCUGAGGUGCGAAGGUAUGGGGAGCAAACA
rnacentral:rRNA from 1 species